UCCGAUAUGGUGUAACGGCUAACAUUGUCGCCUUUCAUGAGUACGUAAUGAUUACGUAAUCACCGCGACGGCUCGGGGUUCGAUUCCCCGUAUCGGAG